rnacentral:rRNA from 1 species
CCAUGCAUGUGUAAGUAUAAGUGUUAUACGGCGAAACUGCGAAUGGCUCAUUAAAUCAGUCAUAAUUUACUUGACAAUGGCUUCUACAUGGAUAACCGUGGCAAUUCUAGAGCUAAUACAUGCGUAAAGGCUGGACUCACGUUCAGCUGGUUUUAUUAGAUACGAUACCAACCCUUUGGUUGUGAUGAAUCAUGGUAACUGAUCGGAUCGCUCUGCGAUGAGUCAUCCAAGUCUCUGCCCUAUCAGCUCUCGAUGGUAGUGUAUUGGACUACCAUGGCAGUCACGGGUAACGGAGAAUUAGGGUUCGGUUCCGGAGAGGGAGCCUGAGAAACGGCUACCACAUCUAAGGAAGGCAGCAGGCGCGUAAAUUACCCAAUCCCGACUCGGGGAGGUAGUGACAAGAAAUAACAACUCGGGGUGAAUAACUUUCGAGAUUGCAAUGAUCGUAAAGUAGACAUAUUUGAAAGAAACAAUUGGAGGGCAAGUCUGGUGCCAGCAGCCGCGGUAAUUCCAGCUCCAAUAGCGUAUAUUAAAGUUGUUGCAGUUAAAAAGCUCGUAGUUGAACUUCUGUGUUUCGUUUGAGGAUUCGUCCGGAAAACGGGAUACAUCCGUCUGCAGCAGGAUUCGUCCUGGGGGCAGACAGUUUACCUUGAGAAAAUUAGAGUGUUCCAGGCAGGCGUAGUCCGGAAUACAUUAGCAUGGAAUAAUGGAAGAUGUCUCGGAUCCGUUGUUGGUUGGGUGAAGAGAAAUGAUGAAUAGGGACAGUCGGGGGCAUUAGUAUUUAAUUGUCAGAGGUGAAAUUCUUGGAUUUAUUAAAGACUGACUUCUGCGAAAGCAUUUGCCAAGGAUGUUUUCAUUGAUCAAGAACGAAAGUUAGGGGAUCAAAGACGAUCAGAUACCGUCCUAGUCUUAACUAUAAACUUUACCGACUCGGGAUCAGGUGGGAUCUUAUGCCCGCUUGGCACCGUACGAGAAAUCAAAGUCUUUGGGUUCUGGGGGGAGUAUGGUCGCAAGGCUGAAACUUAAAGGAAUUGACGGAAGGGCACCACCAGGAGUGGAGCCUGCGGCUUAAUUUGACUCAACACGGGGAAACUUACCAGGUCAAAACAUGGGUGUGAUGGACAGAUUGAGAGCUCUUUCUUGAUUCUAUGGGUGGUGGUGCAUGGCCGUUCUUAGUUGGUGGAGCGAUUUGUCAGGUUAAUUCCUUUAACGAACGAGACCUUAACCUGCUAACUAGUGCCCUGUCUCCACAUGGGCCACUUCUUAGAGGGACUAUGCGAGUUUAUCGCAUGGAAGUUUGAGGCAAUAACAGGUCUGUGAUGCCCUUAGAUGUCCUGGGCCGCACGCGCGCUACAAUGGCACAUGCAACGAGUGUUCUGAUCAGAAAUGAUUGGGCAAUCUGCGAGGGUGUGCCGUGAUGGGGAUCGAUCUUUGCAAUUGUGGAUCGUGAACGAGGAAUUCCUAGUAAGCACAAGUCAUCAGCUUGUGCUGAUUACGUCCCUGCCCUUUGUACACACCGCCCGUCGCUCCUACCGAUUUUGAGUGAUCCGGUGAACCUUCUGGACCGAGCUUGCUUGGAAAGUUAAGUAAACCCGAUCACUAGAGAAGAGA